rnacentral:lncRNA from 1 species
AUUGCUUGAACCUGGGAGGUUGCAGUGAGUCAAGAUCAUGCCACUGCAUUCCAGCCUGAGCAACAGAGUGAGACUGUCUCAAAAAAAAAAAAAAAAGAAAAGAAAAAGAAAAGAAACCAAUACUGAUACAUUAUUAUUAACUAAAGUCAAUACUUUUUUCCAGAGUUUUUUAGUUCUUACUUAAUGUUGCUUUUCUGUUUCAGGAUCUCAUUCAGGACACCACAUUACCAUUAGUCACAGUGUCUCCUCUGGCUCCUCUUGGCUGUCAGUUUCUCAGAGCGUCCUUGUUUUUAAUGGCCUUGAAUAUUUUGAAGAGUAUGGGUCAGGUGUUUUGUAGAAAGCCCUUCACUUGGGAUUUAUCUGAUGGAGUUAGAGUUUGGAGGAAAACCCCAAAGCUGCAUUGGUAUAGGCAUGUAGUAGG